rnacentral:piRNA from 1 species
UGUGAGGUGACCGGAGGAUUGGUUUU